UAGGGAAUCUUGCACAAUGGGCGCAAGCCUGAUGCAGCAACGCCGCGUGAGUGAAGAAGGCCUUCGGGUCGUAAAGCUCUUUUAUCAGGAAAGCAGGGCAGUUGGGUGAACAAUCCAGUUGUCUGACGGUACCUGAGGAAUAAGCACCGGCUAACUCCGUGCCAGCAGCCGCGGUAAUACGGAGGGUGCGAGCGUUGUUCGGAAUUACUGGGCGUAAAGAGCACGUAGGCGGGUUCAUAUGUCGAUUGUGAAAGCCCCGGGCUUAACCUGGGAAUUGCAGUCGAAACUGUGAAUCUUGAAUGCCAGAAAGGGUGGGGGAAUUCCUGGUGUAGAAGUGAAAUUCGUAGAUAUCAGGAGGAACACCUGAGGCGAAGGCGCCUGCCUGGCUGUGCAUUGACGCUGAGGUGCGAAAGCGUGGGGAGCAAACAG
rnacentral:rRNA from 1 species